UUGCCCACCUAGGCCUAGUCUAAAUUCAUAUGCUCAAAUUCAAUACCCGUCAAGAAGAGAUGCACUGCUGCUGCGCCAGAUGUGGACGCCUGCCAGUCCAGGUCUUCAUUUGUUCACAUACAGUCUCGUCAACGCCUUGCCAACCCUAAUAGGCUGUGCCAAGAAAUUCGCGGUGUCUGCGACCUCCUUCAAUAGAAGGAUGCGACAGCUUGCUGCUGCAGUGGAGCUUUAUACCAAGCGCUAACCAAUGUGAGCAGGACUUUGCCUGUUAUCAGCAGCCGAACAGCUUUCCCACCAGAGAAGAAUGCGAGAUAACGUGCCCACGAGUUUCUGCACCAACGCCGCCUAUCAGGAUUCUCGGCUGCCGUUACUGGCUUCUUCAUAUGUCGCUCUGCAAGAAAAGUUGGGCGUCUUCCCGUCGGGACUUUUUCGGAAAAACCCACGAUCUCAUGGUCUUCACUGGCUGUGGUUACUGGAAAAGUAGAGUGUACGUCUAUGAUCUCCUCUCUAAAAAAUGCCGAGUGAAGCCCUGGUGGUGGAGGCUGCCUCCUGAGAAAAAGCCAUUGUUUGCCGACGCAAUCAGUCCCGUUAUUGUUCCUGUAGUAACGACUUUCGUAUCACUUGAUGAACCCAGGGUGCCUUUCAUGACUACGGACCGUUACUACUGAAAAUAAACAAUUCUUUAGACCUG
rnacentral:misc_RNA from 1 species